rnacentral:rRNA from 1 species
GAAAUGCGAUAAGUAAUGUGAAUUGCAGAAUUCAGUGAAUCAUCGAAUCUUUGAACGCACCUUGCACCCUUUGGUAUUCCGAAGGGUACACCCGUUUGAGUGUCAUUGUAAUCUCACCUCUUCGACUUUGUUGUCGAUCAGUGUGGACUUGGAUGUUGCCGUGUAACAAACGGCUCGUCUGAAAUGCUUGAGUGUACCCUGCUUUGCGGCGUAUUCGGUGUGAUAAAUCUUCACCGGAGUCUGACUUUUGAGUCGCGCUUGUAUUGUAUGGCUCUAUGCUUCCAACCGUCCUAACAAGACAAUGUUUGACAAUUUGACCUCAAAUCGGGUGGGACUACCCGCUGAACUUAAGCAUAUCAAUAAGCGGAGGAAAAGAAACU